AUUGAACGCUGGCGGCAGGCCUAACACAUGCAAGUCGAGCGGAUGACGGGAGCUUGCUCCUUGAUUCAGCGGCGGACGGGUGAGUAAUGCCUAGGAAUCUGCCUGGUAGUGGGGGACAACGUUUCGAAAGGAACGCUAAUACCGCAUACGUCCUACGGGAGAAAGCAGGGGACCUUCGGGCCUUGCGCUAUCAGAUGAGCCUAGGUCGGAUUAGCUAGUUGGUGGGGUAAUGGCUCAUCAAGGCGACGAUCCGUAACUGGUCUGAGAGGAUGAUCAGUCACACUGGAACUGAGACACGGUCCAGACUCCGACGGGAGGCAGCAGUGGGGAAUAUUGGACAAUGGGCGAAAGCCUGAUCCAGCCAUGCCGCGUGUGUGAAGAAGGUCUUCGGAUUGUAAAGCACUUUAAGUUGGGAGGAAGGGCAGUAAGCUAAUACCUUGCUGUUUUGACGUUACCGACAGAAUAAGCACCGGCUAACUCUGUGCCAGCCGCCGCAGUAA
rnacentral:rRNA from 1 species